AAUACCAAGGCGCUUGAGAGAACAACGUUGAAGGAACUCGGCAAAAUACCUCCGUAAGUUCGCGAGAAGGAGGCCCAGUUUCUACGCAAGUAUUGGCUGGGGGCACAAACCAGGGGGUGGCGACUGUUUACUAAAAACACAGGGCUCUGCGAAGUCGCAAGACGACGUAUAGGGUCUGACGCCUGCCCGGUGCCUGAAGGUUAAAAGGAGGGGUGAGAGCUCUGAAUUGAAGCCCAGGUAAACGGCGGCCGUAACUAUAA
rnacentral:rRNA from 1 species